rnacentral:tRNA from 1 species
GGUGGCUCAGGGUAGAGUGCCUGCCUUGCAUGCAUGAGGCCCUGGGUUCGAUUCCUCAGCACCA